UCCAGGGUAGCCUAGUGGACAUGGCAUCUGCCCGGUAAGCGGGACGUUGUGGGUUCGAUUCCCGCCCCUGGAC